CAUUAACAUAGAAACAUAGAAUGUGACGGCAGAGAACCAUUCGGCCCAUCCAGUCUGCCCAAUUUGGCCUUAUCUUAUAGUUAGGAUAGCCUUAUGCCUAUCCCACGCAUGCUUUAACUCCUUCACUGUGUUAACCUCUACCACUUCAGCUGGAAGGCUAUUCCAUGCAUCCACUACUGUUACCGGGAAACUGACGGAGGCCAAGCACAGAGAGAUGGACACAGGUUUCUUCAGGAAGGAAGAGAUCUUUAUUCGAUUCACCGACCGGGACUCAGAGGGACUUAUGUCACCAAAAACAGCAAAGAUCUGAGUACUGAAUACAUAGAGUAGAUUCCUUAUAUAGCACUGUAGCCCCUCCCAUAAUUAGC